GGUGACCUAGUGGUUAGAGAGCCCGACUCUGAUGCGGGAGGUCGCAGGUUCGAACCCUGUCAGAGUCA